rnacentral:rRNA from 1 species
UACGAAGGGGGCUAGCGUUGUUCGGAAUUACUGGGCGUAAAGGGCGCGCAGGCGGCUCUUCAAGUCAGAUGUGAAAGCCCCGGGCUCAACCUGGGAACUGCAUUUGAGACUGGAGAGCUUGAGUUCGGGAGAGGAGAGCGGAAUUCCCAGUGUAGAGGUGAAAUUCGUAGAUAAUUGGGAAGAACACCGGUGGCGAAGGCGGCUCUCUGGACCGAUACUGACGCUGAGGCGCGAAAGCCAGGGGAGCAAAGCGGGGAUUAAGCAUGACCCUUGUA